rnacentral:rRNA from 1 species
UAACGCGUGAGGAACCUGCCUCAAAGAGGGGGACAACAGUUGGAAACGACUGCUAAUACCGCAUAAGCCCACGGUGCCGCAUGGCACAGAGGGGAAAGGAGCAAUCCGCUUUGAGAUGGCCUCGCGUCCGAUUAGCUAGUUGGUGAGGUAAUGGCCCACCAAGGCGACGAUCGGUAGCCGGACUGAGAGGUUGAACGGCCACAUUGGGACUGAGACACGGCCCAG